AGAUCACAUAUUCCUUUGCUAGAACACGUGAGCUGAUUCCGACUUUGGCCUCAAGUUGCUCCCGUCAAUGACAAGUGGGAGGAGUGGGAGUGCUGUGUUCAUGAAAUUGAGUAUCUCAGAAGAAUUUGGUUUGGCACUUAUUUUCCUCAACCUGUUAUUCUUCAAAUGUGCUUCCCAUGGAUUUGAUAAAUUUGGUGAGAUAAUGUUAUGUGUCAGGUAUGGCCAUAAGAUACUCAUGAAACUUAUUUUAUUUUGCCUCACACAAGAUGUAUGUUGUUUAGACUCAUGUACUGCCAGUACUGGUAGAUCGAUGAUCUAAGGAUCAUAUGAAUGAUUAAUGGAGGAUAAUUCAUAUUCAGUUCUCCUCUCAAUUUUUGUGGUGCCAAGCUUGAUCUUUAUCCAUCUAACUGACUGAAAGUGCCUUCUAAUCACUAUUGAACGCAUAUGUUAGUUAGUUUGACUGUAUACACCACACAAAAAGUAAAAAAUGAAUUCUAGAAAAAAUUAGACACAAAUACUACAGAACCAGUGGACCCUCGAGAAACAAAAGGCACACCUAAAGGAUUUUUUUCUUAACAAAAUGUAUUAAUUUGACUAUUUAAAUAUAAAAAAUGUGCAAUCGCAAUCUUGCUUUUUCAAGGAAAACAGGGGACUGCUACAUACUCGAUAUGGAUCGAGGCUAAUUAUUGAUCUUCCAAGUUAAAAAAUCUGAAAAUAACUUUCAUUUAGUAAUGGAUACAUAGUCAAGAAAGGAUGCCUUUCCCGAAAGAUACAAAACAAAAUCGUGUUCGUGUAUGUCCGGCUGACAGAUGAAUCGAUCUCCUUUCAAGUAUCAACCCAGCAACCUUCGUGUACGUACAUGUGUGCAUCAAGGAUGCACGGGUCCAUUGGCCUGCGUACCACACAUCCCUUCACUAAUUCCAUCAGUAUCAUUCUUAACAAGGUAAGUAUGAUUCCCUAAUCCCUGAUUUUAUUAAUUGAUCUUUGAUGCUUCAUCCCUAAUGUCGUUAUACCUUAUUGAUUCUAUAAAAGAUCUCAAACAGGAA